rnacentral:rRNA from 1 species
UUCAGCCGCGAUAGCACGUUGAAUACCACAGUUUCCAAUAGAUCACUGAAGUUAAGCAACGUUGCGUGUGGUUAGGAUCCGGAUGGGUACCUAAACAGGGACCAACAAUCUCUACCAGAC